CUCUGGUUAACCUACAAUCAGGGCCGAAGGAG
rnacentral:ncRNA from 1 species